ACGAGCGCUGGUGGAAGGCUCAACAGGACUGAAGGGUCACAGGGCUGGAUUUCAGGCUGCACCCAGCAGGGUGAGCAGAGAAUAGAACAGGGCAGAUGUCACCUGCUGCCUCGGGAGUCCAGGUCUGCCUGGAGCCCGCAUGGACAGGAGAGCUCUAGGUGGCCGGAACCAGCCACCACCAGUACAGACUGAGAACCUGGCCCCGGCUGACACAGCUUCCUGGAAUACAGGUGUGGGAGAUUGGGGCUGAUUCAGAUGGUCCACAGCAGCAGACUAUUUGCCUCGUGCGGGCUCUGAGAGGGGCUCUUUGCCAGCUGCAGAGAGCUUAAUUCUGAGGGCUCUGGAGACGGAACAAAUGCCGGAGCCCAGAGAAAGGGGGCUCUGAGAAAGAAGAAGGCUGCUGGUGCUUCCUGCCUGCUGCUCCUGGUUGCUGUUGAUGGAAGUUUGAUGAGAAAAAGUUGGGAAUAUCCUGAAACAAAGAUUGGACUUGCCCCCAAGAAACCCAACAACCCUAACCAGCAGGAAGUAGCCAAAAAGAACUCUGUCCCCUCUCCCCACUAAACUUUUUUCUCUCCUACCUGGUGUUGGGGUGUAGGAAAGGAUUGGGGUGGAGAAGGGAGAAAGAGGCAUAAGAAACGUAAAUAAAAAUAGUUUUAAAAAGUACA